AAGCGGUGGAGGCAUGUGGUUUAAUUCGAAGCAACGCGAAGAACCUUACCAGGUCUUGACAUCCCUCUGACCGCUCUAGAGAUAGAGUUUUCCUUCGGGACAGAGGUGACAGGUGGUGCAUGGUUGUCGUCAGCUCGUGUCGUGAGAUGUUGGGUUAAGUCCCGCAACGAGCGCAACCCCUAUUGUUAGUUGCCAUCAUUGAGUUGGGCACUCUAGCGAGACUGCCGGUAAUAAACCGGA
rnacentral:rRNA from 1 species